CAGAGGAUAUUUUAUUUAAAAUAUUAAUUUUGGGGAUUAAUGAUAAGAUGUAUAUAUCUUUCCUUUGA
rnacentral:tRNA from 1 species